rnacentral:rRNA from 1 species
GGGAGGGCAGCAGUGGGGGGAAUAUUGCACAUGGGGGAAAUCCGAUGCAGCCAUGCCGCGUGGUGUGGAAGAAGGCCUUUCGGGUGUAAAGCACUUUCAGCAGUGAGGAAAGGCGGUAUCGUUAAUAGCGGUAUCGUUUGACGUUAGCUGCAGAAGAAGCACCGGGCUAACUCCCGUGCCAGCAGCCGCGGUAAUACGGAGGGUGCGAGCGUUAAUCGGAAAUUACUGGGCGUAAAGCGCAUGCAGGCGGCUUGUUAAGCCAGAUGUGAAAGCCCGGGGCUCAACCUCGGAAUCGCAUUUGGAACUGGCAGGCUAGAGUCUUGUAGAGGGGGGUAGAAUUUCAGGUGUAGCGGUGAAAUGCGUAGAGAUCUGAAGGAAUACCGGUGGCGAAGGCGGCCCCCUGGACAAAGACUGACGCUCAGAUGCGAAAGCGUGGGGAGCAAACAGGAUUAGAUACCCUGGUAGUCCACGCCGUAAACGAUGUCUACUUGGAGGUUGGUGUCUUGAACACUGGCUUUCGGAGCUAACGCGUUAAGUAGACCGCCUGGGGAGUACGGUCGCAAGAUUAAAACUCAAAUGAAUUGACGGGGGCCCGCACAAGCGGUGGAGCAUGUGGUUUAAUUCGAUGCAACGCGAAGAACCUUACCUACUCUUGACAUCCACGGAAUCCUGCAGAGAUGCGGGAGUGCCUUCGGGAACCGUGAGACAGGUGCUGCAUGGCUGUCGUCAGCUCGUGUUGUGAAAUGUUGGGUUAAGUCCCGCAACGAGCGCAACCCUUAUCCUUGUUUGCCAGCACUUCGGGUGGGAACUCCAGGGAGACUGCCGGUGAUAAACCGGAGGAAGGUGGGGACGACGUCAAGUCAUCAUGGCCCUUACGAGUAGGGCUACACACGUGCUACAAUGGCAUAUACAGAGGGCAGCAAGACCGCGAGGUGGAGCGAAUCCCACAAAGUAUGUCGUAGUCCGGAUUGGAGUCUGCAACUCGACUCCAUGAAGUCGGAAUCGCUAGUAAUCGUGGAUCAGAAUGCCACGGUGAAUACGUUCCCGGGCCUUGUACACACCGCCCGUCACACCAUGGGAGUGGGCUGCACCAGAAGUAGAUAGUAUAACGUAACAGAGUACCCAGCAUGAGUAGUCG